UACAGAGGGUGCAAGCGUUGUUCGGAAUUACUGGGCGUAAAGCGCGCGCAGGCGGAUCCUGUAAGUCGGAAGUGAAAUUUCGGGGCUCAACUCCGAAGCUGCUUCUGAUACUGCGGAUCUGGGGACCGGUAGAGGCUGGUGGAAUUGCAGGUGUAGCGGUGGAAUGCGUAGAGAUCUGCAAGAACACCCGUGGCGAAGGCGGCCAGCUGGGCCGGGUCCGACGCUGAGGCGCGAAAGCUAGGGGAGCAAACAGG
rnacentral:rRNA from 1 species